GAUGAACGCUGGCGGCGUGCCUAACACAUGCAAGUCGAACGAAGCACUUCGAUUUCUUCGGAAUGAAAAAGUGACUGAGUGGCGGACGGGUGAGUAACGCGUGGGUAACCUGCCUCGUACAGGGGGAUAACAGUUAGAAAUGACUGCUAAUACCGCAUAACCCGCUAGGGUCGCAUGACCCAGACGGAAAAGAUUUAUCGGUACGAGAUGGACCCGCGUCUGAUUAGCUAGUUGGUGAGGUUAAACGGGCCCCACCAAGGCGACGAUCAGUAGCCGGCCUGAGAGGGUGAACGGCCACAUUGGGACUGAGACACGGCCCAAACUCCUACGGGAGGCAGCAGUGGGGAAUAUUGCACAAUGGGGGAAACCCUGAUGCAGCAACGCCGCGUGAGUGAAGAAGUAUUUCGGUAUGUAAAGCUCUAUCAGCAGGGAAGAAAAUGACGGUACCUGACUAAGAAGCCCCGGCUAACUACGUG
rnacentral:rRNA from 1 species